GCUUUCGUGGCGUAGUAGUCAACACACUCGACGCGUAACCGAGAGGUCCAUGGUUCGAUUCCCGGCGAAGGCG
rfam:Stegodyphus mimosarum contig110250, whole genome shotgun sequence.